rnacentral:lncRNA from 1 species
AAAACAUUCCAGGUUGCCGCCAGUUUCUCGCUGCUGCUGACGCAAUUGCCUCUGUCUGCUUCUCUUCGUCUGCCGCCACUCGGCCGCCGGGCUAGAAAUCGCCAUCACCGCCGCUGCCCACCUCCUCUGCCAUGUUAAGUAUGGUAAGUAUUCUAUUAGGAAAGAUUAUAAUUGUAAAUAUAGAAUGAUUAGGGCUUUACUUUAGAAAGAACAAAUUUUGGUAAAUGUUUAGCAAUGGAAACUUUAAAACCUAGAUUUUUAGUUAUAAAUUUAUUAGUUCACUGUAAAUUAUGCCGUAUUCACUCAAUCGCCCCCGCCUCCACCAUUCAGCCGGCCCGCCUCCAGCCUCUGCAUCAUCUUUCACUCCUCAGUCUUCAAGUAACAGCUUAAACCCUCAAAUUUUAUGUAGGCUCGAAUGUUGUAGGGCAGAUGUUUGUAGCUAAAGCCAGAAUUUUCAUAGGACCACAGAGUAAGCUUAUUUCGACUGGAAUCUUUUCAUUAGUUUGUUGUUUGUUUUUUCUAUAACAGUGAUGAUUUUGUGGGGUUAUUUUGAUUCAAUUUUUUGUUUCAGUGCGCUGUCAAUUUGUGCUCCCCUUUAUAUAGAAAUCAGAAUAUGUUUUUAAUUGGUUUCCCCUAGAGUUACUAAAUCUUGUGAUUGUGAUGUCUAUUGAUUUGGUUUCGUGUGAGAUAAUACGAUGUGAUUAUCUUAUUUGGUAUUUUUGUUGAGAUGAAUUGUUAAUAGCUCGGAUGUAUAGUUGUUGAAAUUACUUUGUUAAUGACUGUUAUUAAUUCUAAUCUCGAAUAUUGGCCUUACAAAGAAAGGUUCCUAAUUUCUCUUUUUUUUAUGUCUGCAUUUAUGUUUGAUGAUGGCUUUAUGGAAGAGUUAUGAUUUGAUGAAUUUAACAUGAUGAAAUAGAAUAUGGGCUUGAAGAGUUGGUGGAGUUCAGAUGGAGAGAAUUAGGAGAGGAGACACAGGUUAGAAUUCAAAGCAUUUUGAUUAGCUUUUGAAAUUCUUGAAUUUUUUUUGAGAUUGAUGAUGAAUAUGUGAUGAGCAGGAAAUUCAUGGGGCAAAUUCGUCGUUCGAUUAGCUGUCUGUAUUGCACAUGAUGGCAAUGCUGACGCUGAUGGAGGCAAAUGAAAAGCUAAUUCCUAAAGAAAGUAGUCUGUCUGAGAGGUUUGUGUCUGCAGGGUUAUAUCUAUCUACAUACAUACAAGUGAUAAUUUUGAAAAUUUUGAGAUAAUUUUGUGUUGCUAUUGUGAUCAGAUUGCAUGAGAGAUGUUGAUUUGCUGCUGAAAGCAGCAGGAUAUUUUAAUUUAUGUGUUCUUGAUGUUCUUCCAUGGCUAGCACCUGAGCUAAAGUUAAGCAUACGCAUUUUUGUUGAUUAGAUUCUUGAUAUCUUUGUAUAGACAGGAUGAAGCUGCCUUCGGACAUGCAGGGGCACGUGCUAGAGGCGAUUUCACAUCAAGCACUGGCACAGGCAAUUUCACAUCAAGCACUGGCACAGGUAGAAACUGCCUUCUAUUACAACUUGAACAGAACAGCAAUCUUAAAAAACAUGCAUGAAGUUGAAGUCAUAGUGUGAGAUGAUGAUUAAUUUAUUGCAUGGGUGAUAUAUUCCAGGGAACUGAAAUUCAGCUUGGAUUAGUUGUCCAAAGUAAAAAUGCAACUGUCUGUGAAGAAGAGACUAGCUUGUGAACAGUUGAGUUUCUAUGCUCAGGUAAUUAAGAUGUCCCAUUUAGUACUAAGCUGCAGUUUCCUUCAUUUCCUACAGUUAGGAAGAGUGUUGUAAGAGACCUAAUUGAUAAGUGUCUGUUUGUUAGGCGUAUAACUGUUUAUCGGACAAGAAUGAGAGCAGUGCAGCUCUGAAGAAUCAACUAUUCUUCCUCAAGCUGAAGCUUCUGGAAGCUAAGGUGCUUCUUAUUUUCAUCAAUCAAUAGUUCCCAUCUCAUUUUGUUUAUUUACACGUUCUAGACUUACACAGGCUGCAGCUUACUACUAUCACCGUGUAAUCCUAGACAAGGGCACAGAGCCUUCCUGCCAUGUCAGCGUCGUCUGCUGCUCUCUUGCUACAGAGGAGUUGCUGGUCGAGAGCAAGAAGGCAUACUUGACCUUUUGCCUUGCAGAUCCAAUCACAAGGUAAUUCACUUCAAAUUAUAAAUAACUUUUUAUUCACCAAUCAAACUAACACAUGCUCUGUUCGAGUUCGUGUACUAGAUGUACAUACAUACACACUUAUAUCUAUAAAAUAGACAUAUUACAAUUAAGAGAUAAAGUUCAAGCAGUUCGCAAGGCACGCUCUUUCUAAGUUGCAAUCUAUAUUUGCUGAAGGGUGAUUGAUAAUUCAUGUGAAAACUUGAGAGCAACCAAAAAAUGUCUAAGUGGAAAGAGUAAAGAAAGCAAUUUAUAUGAAAGGAAAGUAAUUUCUAAGACAACUAUUUGCUCUGUUUUUUUUUUCUUUCACAGCUUUGAACUACUUGCUCGGCAUUAUGUUUGGGUUGCAUCAUUCUAAUGAUCUUGCCAGUAACAUACAACUACAUGAACUAUUUUUAUUAAUGCAUGUUCAUGUAAGUAUAAUACAUAUAUUUAUUUGACAAUGUUGUCUAUCUAUAUCUGCUGGUGGGGUUGGUGGAGAAGGCGAUGGUUGUUUUGAGCGGGAUCACGACGAUUGAGAUAGGGCAAGAGGUGAUCAUUGAGGAAGGCAGGCGGGAUCGCGAGCGAUUGAGGAUGAGAGCAACAAAGGGAAGUAGUUCGCAUAUGUAAUUGCUUACUUCGUUUGAUUUUUUUCUUUUUUUUUUUCUUUUUCUUUUUUAGACUAAAAAUGCUUCUUGGGUUUGAGGAUUUUAAGAUUGAUUUGACUAUUAAAGCUACAAUUUCUUGGAAUUAUAUGUUUGGGUUUAAUAAAUUAUGGAAUAUUUUUCUCUGAUAAAUUAAAAAGAAAAAUAAUAAACACGAUAUAUGUAACAAAAAGUGAAUGUAGAGCACUUUACAAAAAUUAAUAACUUGACUUCAAAAACUUUUUUUUAGCUUGCUACAAUAAGAAUAACUAAUUUCUAUUUAAAUUGAUAUAAUACAUUAAUUAGAUAUGAAUGAUUAAUUAAUGAAAUUUUAAAAUUUAUAAUUAUAGUAUUAAAUAAUUCUUGCAUCUUUUUCUUUAAAAUUACUGUAAGAUCAAAUAAUUCCCAUCGAAUUUCGACGGAUUAGGUGAUUUAUUUGUUGGGUGGUUGAUUGCAGAAUGUCGACGCUGAAAAGCAGCAGCGCACCUACCUCUCAAGCUUCGACGGGUAUCCGUCGGGUAACGGGUGGCGGGGUAACGGGUGGCGGGUAUCCGUGGAUCGUGGGUAUGGGUGGCAAAUAAUUUUUUUGAAUAUACAUUUUGCUAAGUCAUGUUAGAGAUGAAAGUCCUCUUCAAUUUAUUUUUUCAUUUUAGUUUGAUAUGUAAUUAGAUUUAUGUCAUGUUAACACUUAUUUUAUUGAAUAAUAUUCAUUAUUUAUAAAUAUAUUAUGAAAAGAAGAUGAACUUUUUAUUUAUAAACUAUAACACCAAAUAAUUCCCGUCGAAUUUCGACGGGUUACACACUAGUUAUUGUUGUUUAAUUUGUUGUAAAAUAAUAUUACCUUUUAAUUUUUUUUGGUCACCAAAUAGUAGCUAUGGCAUGUCUCACCGGCGCCGGUGAUGUCAAAGUGCAACUGCACGGUGUCAUUAUUUUCACUUCGAUUAAUAUAAUGUUCGACAUACCAACUUCUUUACUACCAAAAUUGUAGUGUUGCAAUUAUAUGGAGUAAUUGAUAAAAGUGAGUGCACUAAUUAACAAUUCCCUAUAAUAAAACUACAACCGCUAUUAAAAAUUGACCUAUUUUUGAAAAUGCAUUUUUGGAAGAUGCUCACGAAUCUAUCAAUUCUAUAAAGCAAUACAUAUUCCAGCCUCCAUAUUGUUUCUCUCUCCUACAUGGCACACUCACACUGCUUUAUUUCACAUUAUCUUGAAAGGCUUUUCACUCACAAUUCUCACAAUUUUACAAAGCCUGUUGCAGCCGUUACAUCCCUCAAGGUCAAAGCCAUCUCUCAAAAUUUCCAUCCAUGGCUUCAGCCGUUACAUCUUUCAAAGUCUCAAUUUCUCUCACAAUAUGAGUUUCCAGUCUCAAUCUUUCCACAAAUCUCAAACAAUUCGCUGGUCUCUCUCGCUUCUUCUCAAACAAUCGGCGCCGAAUCUUCCCACAAAUAUCAAACAAUCGGCUGUGUAAUUGGGAGAUUCAGUUUCUCUCUUUCAAUUUCCAUCGCCCACCUCCCAGCCAACCACCGCCAGUCGCUGUCCUGUCGCCGCGAUUCAGACGCCGUCCUCCGCCCCGUGAUUCAGAUGCCGUCACUGCCUUCUGUGCGAAUCCAGCCGUGCCGUCCUCCACCGCCGCCUUUAUGUGGUCGUGCCUCCAGCCGCCUCUGUGCGAAUCCAGCCGCGCCGUCCUCCGCUUUCUCCAGCCGCCUAUGUCGCCCAUGGCAUCACCAUAGCCAUCAGCAUAGGCCGACGAUUCCCCAAUAUCCGACGCCAUAUCUCCCACCAGCAAUUUUCCAACAAUCCCACCCCUAAUCCCAACCCUAAUCCGUCGCCCAUUCUCAUCUUAUUCUUCUUCGGCCUCUCUGAGUCCGGAUUUGAAAAAAGCCCUGUCGAUUUUUAUUUCUGUUUCAUUGUAGUCUUACUGACUGAAGAACUCUUCCUCUCUCGCUCUUCACAUCUCUCAGAUCUAGCGGGGGAGAAAUCCCUGCCACCAACCUCCGAAGAAUUCGAAAAACAUUCCAGGUUGCCGCCAGUUUCUCGCUGCUGCUGACGCAAUCGCCUCUGUCUGCUUCUCUUCGUCUACCGCCACUCGGCCGCCGGGCUAGAAAUCGCCAUCACCGCCGCUGCCCACCUCCUCUGCCAUGUUAAGUAUGGUAAGUAUUCUAUUAGGAAAGAUUAUAAUUGUAAAUAUAGAAUGAUUAGGGCUCUACUUUAGAAAGAACAAAUUUUGGUAAAUGUUUAGCAAUGGAAACUUUAAAACCUAGAUUUUUAGUUAUAAAUUUAUUAGUUCACUGUAAAUUAUGCCGUAUUCACUCAAUCGCCCCCGCCUCCACCAUUCAGCCGGCCCGCCUCCAGCCUCUGCAUCAUCUUUCACUCCUCAGUCUUCAAGUAACAGCUUAAACCCUCAAAUUUUAUGUAGGCUCGAAUGUUGUAGGGCAGAUGUUUGUAGCUAAAGCUAGAAUUUUUCAUAGGACCACAGAGUAAGCUUAUUUCGACUGGAAUCUUUUCAUUAGUUUGUUGUUUGUUUUUUCUAUAACAGUGAUGAUUUUGUGGGGUUAUUUUGAUUCAAUUUUUUGUUUCAGUGCGCUGUCAAUUUGUG